GAUGAACGCUGGCGGUGUGCCUAAUACAUGCAAGUCGAGCGAACAGACGAGGAGCUUGCUCCUCUGACGUUAGCGGCGGACGGGUGAGUAACACGUGGAUAACCUACCUAUAAGACUGGGUUAACUUCAGGAAACCGGAGCUAAUACCGGAUAAUAUAUUGAACCGCAUGGUUCAAUAGUGAAAGACGGUUUUGCUGUCACUUAUAGAUUGAUCCGCGCCGCAUUAGCUAGUUGGUAAGGUAACGGCUUACCAAGGCAACGAUGCGUAGGCGACCUGAGAUGGUGAUCGGCUAGACUUGAACUGAGACACGGUCCAGUGUGAUAGGGGAAGGAGCAGGAGUGAAUCUUCCGCAAUGGGCGAGAACUUGACGGCGAAGCGCGAAGUGAGGGAUGAAGGUUUUCGGGUCGUAAAACACGGUUAAUGGGGAAGAAAAAGUGUGUAAGUAAAUAGGCACAUCAUGACAGUACCUAAUCAGAAAGCCACGGCUAACUCCGUG
rnacentral:rRNA from 1 species